rnacentral:rRNA from 1 species
CAGCAGUGAGGAAUAUUGGUCAAUGGACGAGAGUCUGAACCAGCCAAGUAGCGUGAAGGAUGACUGCCCUAUGGGUUGUAAACUUCUUUUAUAUGGGAAUAAAGUAUUCCACGUGUGGGAUUUUGUAUGUACCAUAUGAAUAAGGAUCGGCUAACUCCGUGCCAGCAGCCGCGGUAAUACGGAGGAUCCGAGCGUUAUCCGGAUUUAUUGGGUUUAAAGGGAGCGUAGGUGGAUUGUUAAGUCAGUUGUGAAAGUUUGCGGCUCAACCGUAAAAUUGCAGUUGAAACUGGCAGUCUUGAGUACAGUAGAGGUGGGCGGAAUUCGUGGUGUAGCGGUGAAAUGCUUAGAUAUCACGAAGAACUCCGAUUGCGAAGGCAGCUCACUGGACUGCAACUGACACUGAUGCUCGAAAGUGUGGGUAUCAAACAGGAUUAGA